GGUCCCAUGGUGUAAUGGUUAGCACCCUGGGCUUUGAAUCCAGAGAUCCGAGUUCGAGUCUCGGUGGGACCU
rnacentral:tRNA from 1 species